rnacentral:rRNA from 1 species
UACGUAGGGUCCGAGCGUUGUCCGGAAUUAUUGGGCGGAAAGGGCUCGUAGGCGGUUUGUCGCGUCGGGAGUGAAAACACGGGGCUUAACCCCGUGCCUGCUUCCGAUACGGGCAGACUAGAGGUAUGCAGGGGAGAACGGAAUUCCUGGUGUAGCGGUGAAAUGCGCAGAUAUCAGGAGGAACACCGGUGGCGAAGGCGGUUCUCUGGGCAUUACCUGACGCUGAGGAGCGAAAUUGUGGGGAGCGAACAGG